UUUUUUUGAGAAAACUCCAUAUUGUUGACCAUGAGGGCUAUUCUUAUUUACAUUCCCAUAAACAAUGUAUGAGAGUUCCACAUCCUCACCAGCCCUUGUUAUUGUCUUUUUGAUAACAGACAUCCUAACCGGGUUAAGAUGAUUUUAUUGCGGCUUUUACUUGCAUUUGUCUGAUGAUUAGUGACGGUUAGCAUUUUUUCAUAUACUUGGCCAUUUGCAUUUUUUUUUUUUUUGAGACGGAAUCUUGCUCUGUCGCUCAGGCUGGAGUGCAGUGGUGCGAUCUUGGCUCACUGCAACCUCCAUUUCGCAGGUUCAAACGAUUCUCCUGCCUCAGCCUCCUGAGUAGCUGGGACGACAGGCACGUGCCACCAUACCAGGCUAAUUUUUGUAUGUUUAGUACAGACGGGGUUUCACCUUGUUGGUCAGGUUUGCCUCAAAUUUCUGACCUCGUGAUCCACCCACCUUGGCCUCCCAAAGUGCUGGGAUUAGAGGUGUGAGCCACCACUCUCGGCCUGUAUGUCUUCUUUUGAGAAAUGUUUAUUUAGUCCUUUGCAUACUUUUUAAUGGGAUUAUUCCUUUAUUUUUUCUGUUUAGUUGUAACAAAGUCUUUAAUAACAAUUUCUAAUAGGAAGAAAACUCACUCUGGUUAACCACACUCCAUGGUAUUGCAGCAUUUAACUAUAGAAACUCAAAAGAAACAAAACGUGAUCCUUAACUCAAAAGGAAUAAAA
rnacentral:lncRNA from 10 species